CAAUCGCCGCGGGAAUACGUAGGUGGCAAGCGUUGUCCGGAAUUAUUGGGCGUAAAGGGCUCGCAGGCGGUUUCUUAAGUCUGAUGUGAAAGCCCCCGGCUCAACCGGGGAGGGUCAUUGGAAACUAGGAAACUUGAGUGCAGAAGAGGAGAGUGGAAUUCCACGUGUAGCGGUGAAACGCGUAGAGAUGUGGAGGAACACCAGUGGCGAAGGCGACUCUCUGGUCUGUAACUGACGCUGAGGAGCGAAAGCGUGGGGGGCGAACAGGAUUAGAUACCCGCGUAGUCCCUGUCUCUUAUAC
rnacentral:rRNA from 1 species